rnacentral:snRNA from 1 species
UAAAAGGGUGUGUGGCUACUUUCAUUAUGCCACAUGGACUUGAAUGUCCAUGCAGAAUCGUCAUCCAGAGAUUUUGCGCACAUAAUUUUUAGGUUAUAAAUGGGUGGUUGUCUGGCUUCGCUUUAAGCUGACGCCGCCCUA